CUUGGCUUUGCACCUGACUCCAAUUUUCUCUUUAGCCCUGCUUUGUCUUGUUCGCUGGUUUCCUGACUCCUGUGUACCAGUCCUUGGCUAGUUCUUGUUUAUGCUGUCUCUCUGUACCCUUGACCUCGGCUCAUUCUUGACUCUGUCUUUUCCUGUCCACGUCGAGUCCGGCCAUUCUAAGGCCCGGUAAGAUGUAUCUUGUUAUCUUGUCUCUCGUUG